rnacentral:tRNA from 1 species
GCCUUCAUGGUGUAAUGGUCAGCACGCUCGACGCGUAACCGAGAGGUCCAUGGUUCGAUUCCCGGCGAAGGCG